rnacentral:tRNA from 1 species
GCCGCGGUGGUCUAGCGGUUAGAACGCUGGCCUUGUAAUCCUGGAGUCUCGGGUUCGAUUCCCGGCGGUGCCC